rnacentral:rRNA from 1 species
GUAGGGAAUAUUGGGCAAUGGGGGAAACCCUGACCCAGCAAUGCCGCGUGUGUGAAGAAGGCCUGCGGGUUGUAAAGCACUUUUGGCGGGGAAGAAAAGCGGUGGGAUAAUACCCUGCUGUCUUGACGUAACCCGCAGAAUAAGCACCGGCUAACUCUGUGCCAGCAGCCGCGGUAAUACAGAGGGUGCAAGCGUUAAUCGGAAUUACUGGGCGUAAAGCGUGCGUAGGCGGUCAUGUAAGUCGGAUGUGAAAUCCCCGGGCUCAACCUGGGAGCUGCAUUCGAUACUGCCUGACUAGAGUCUGGUAGAGGGUGGUGGAAUUCCCUGUGUAGCGGUGAAAUGCGUAGAUAUAGGGAGGAACAUCAGUGGCGAAGGCGACCGCCUGGACCAAGACUGACGCUGAGGCACGAAAGCGUGGGUAGCAAACAGGAUUAGAAACCCGAGUAGUCC